rnacentral:lncRNA from 1 species
GUCUGUGAUCCAUCCACUAUAGAAGUUCUACUGUCGAAGAAGCUCGAUUGUUGACGAAGUCCGAAGGAAGUUCGGAGUAAAAUCGAUCAUGGCUGGGAGAAAUCUGGAAGAGAUUCAAAGAAUAGUCGAUCACUGUAGAGAAUUGGGUGAAAGUGAAGCUCAGAGAGCAUUUGGAGCAGUCCGGUAGAUGAAUGGAGAAGCUCAUGAUUGGAGAAGCCCGGAUGGUAUUAUGGAAGCUCGGACGGUCAGGAGAGUUUGGAAAGAUGCCACACAAGGUUGGA